CGGGUGAGUAACGCGUGGUCAACCUACCGUUGAGUGGGGGAUAACUAGCCGAAAGGUUAGCUAAUACCGCAUACGUCUCCGAGUGGCAUCACUUGGCGAUAAAAGGAGCAAUCCGCUCGAUGACGGGACCGCGUCCCAUUAGCUAGAUGGUGGGGUAAUGGCCUACCAUGGCACCGAUGGGUAGCUGGUUUGAGAGAGCGACCAGCCACACUGGGAUUGAGAACGGCCCAG
rnacentral:rRNA from 1 species